rnacentral:rRNA from 1 species
GACGAACGCUGGCGGCGUGCUUAACACAUGCAAGUCGAACGGAAAGGCCCUGCUUUUGUGGGGUGCUCGAGUGGCGAACGGGUGAGUAACACGUGAGUAACCUGCCCUUGACUUUGGGAUAACUUCAGGAAACUGGGGCUAAUACCGGAUAGGAGCUCCUGCUGCAUGGUGGGGGUUGGAAAGUUUCGGCGGUUGGGGAUGGACUCGCGGCUUAUCAGCUUGUUGGUGGGGUAGUGGCUUACCAAGGCUUUGACGGGUAGCCGGCCUGAGAGGGUGACCGGCCACCAUGGGACUGAGAUACGGACCAGACUCCUACGGGCGGCAGGAGGGGGGAAUAUUGCACAAUGGGCCGGAGUCUGAUGCAGCAACGCCGCGUGCGGGAUGACGGGCUUUGGGGUGUAAACCGCUUUCGCCUGUGACGAAGCGUGAGUGACGGUAAUGGGUAAAGAAGCACCGGCUAACUACGUG